GAAUCUUUUCUAAGGAGGCAGGAACUUAGAAGAAAGGCUUAUGGAGACAGCGGGGGAGCUUGUGGGUUGCUGAUUACAGUUGCCAAUUAUGGAAACCUGGGAGUUCGCACGGCCUGGGCCGAGUCUCCUUUUCUGCAUCCGAAAGAUGGAGCGGCGGCUAGUAUCUCUGAGGACUCUGGAAAAUUACCCAAGAUGGAGCUGCACCAAGUUGAAGUACUUGUCUCUGCUGGGUGCUGAGUGGAGCGCAACGGUUACGUUCACCACCUGCACAACUUGCUCUAGAAAUCCGCACCUCGAGAAGGAGGCUGCAGAGUGAGGAAGAAGAGCACACACAGGCAUGCACUCUACAACGAUGCUCUACGCAGCGAUGGAUUGCAGAGGAAUUCAAAGGCACUGACAGAACUCUUGUCUUCCAACUUUCCAUCAAAGAAGUAAGACCAAUAUUGGAGGCCAAAGAAUUUUGAGGAAAGUUGCUGCCAUUUCUUUAAGACCUCCCCCAGUGACAUUCUCCUCAGCCUCUGCCUCCUAGGUCUUGUAUGGCUUAGCUUUGGAGGCAAAGAUGAGUCCCCCACCCCCACAAGGGGCUUCACCUCAGAGUGGGCAAAGAACAGCAAAUAGGGACGGACACAUCUCAAAAUACCUUGUCCUUGUGUUUGUGAAACAAACCACCCACAUACAGCAUUCCAUUUGAUUUAUUUUCCAUGGGCACUUCCAAAAGCAAUCUUGUGUUGGGCCAAAAGGCAGAUUUCACACCACAGAACUUUCUCAGAAAAUUGGAAGGUCAAAUCCUUCCCCAGCCAUUUCAGAGGACAAUAGUCAGAUCAGGAGAAAAAAAAAAAAAAAAAAGAAAAUCUCCAAUACUGGGAGUUUUUCUCCUGCAGCUAAAGCAAAACAAAGCCUGAGAAAUGGGACGAAGAAAGAAACAAACAGCUGCGAUUGAUCAAUCGACCGAUCCCCCUUUACAAGGUCUUUCAAAUCAGUCAUCUGGCCAACUUGCUGCCCUGCUUGUUUUCACAUUGAGUUUGGGUCUCCUGACUCUGCCAUCUUGCCACCUGUCAGGCUCUUCCCUGCCUUACUUUCCUCAGGCCAGGACUAGCCCCAGAAUCUCUUCCAAGGGCCUUCUUAGCCUUUCCCUUUCCCAGAACAGUAAGAAGUCAGACUAGUUGAGUAUGUAGAUCUGGCGGGCAAACCCACGUCUGGAAGUGGAAGAAGGUCAACCGGGUAAGAGAAGCAAAUGCCGGGUCCUCAGAACCACCGCUGAAGGGAGAUCCCCAUUCCCUUCGGUGUGGUUAGCUAGGGAUUCGUAAUUGGCUCUCUCUGGCUGCUUAAGGGUUAGAGAAACUAGUCAUCAAGGUCUGGCCACUUGGAGCCGUUGGUUACAGAAGUUGUCCAAUUUCUUGGAUCAUUACUAGAGAUAGCAGUCUGACCUCCUGUAAGUCUCCAGCCUUGGAGAAAGCAGAUUGGUUUCCUAGGCUGGGUAUGGUAGGUAGGAGGCUGGUUUGCUGAAUACCUUACUGUAGAAUGUGAGUCUGGAUUCUGUUUUCAUAUACAGUCUGGAUGAUGUCUGAACACUUUGUCUCUUAGCAAGAAACAACGAAGUCAGCCAUUGAGUAAAGGGGCUGAUUUUUCUUCCUACAUCUCCAAGUCUGUACUUUGGCAGUUAUCUUUCUUCUGGUGUAUGUGUGAGUGUGUGUGUGUGUAUGUGUGUGUGUGUACAGGGGGGAGGGGUCAUCAAUCAUGAGAAACCUGUCCAUUUCUGUGACAAAAAUACUUUGAAGCGGACAUUCGAAAGGUCUGCCUUCUACGCUGUGGACAUAAACGUUCCAAACCCCCUUCCCCCCCCCCCUUCCCCUUCCUUUCAUAGUGUUACUGGAGCUCCUGUUCUGUUCCAGUGCGAAAUGUCCUUCACAGGCUGUGCGUUUGAACCACCCAUCCCCACCUGGCUCUGUCUGGGAGGCUGUGGAAACCUUUGGGCACGGGCCUUGCUGACACACACAGGGCCCUAGCUCAGCAGAGAUGGAUUUAACAGUUAUAGGGCAGGCUCCCAUCUACCCAGAGCUCCCUGUUGACUUGUUUGGCCGCCAAAAUAUGAGCAAGCUGAGCUUCAAGUGGCUCACCGCCAUCCAGACUCUAAGACUGUAUCUCCUGCCUAAAGUUUGUUUUUUGGGUGUUUUGUUUUGUUUUGUUGUUUUGUUUUUUUUUUUUUUCCCUGCUGGGUAUUUUGUAACAGGGACAAGGAAAGUAAUUAAUGCAGACUGAGAUCCUGAGAGCAAGUUGGGGAAAGACACCCCUAGGGGACAGUUAAGGUUUACACAAACAUGGCACUGACAUGGGUAUCUUGUAUGAGUCAGCUAAAACAUGGACAUCCAGGGGGCCUAAGAGUCAGCACAAAAUGCCUGAUAACCUGGAUGUCUGGGGACCCCAAAAGAUACGUAAUCUGUUAUGUAACUAUUUGGGGGCAUAAUUCCUCUUUUGUGGGAGUCUGUGUGAGUAUGACCUUGACGUCAGAAGCUCAAACCUUUGCCUUUGUCAUCCUGUGUUUGUCAGUCAGCUUAUCUCCACGCCGUCUGUGAGCCAGGGUACCUGCCUAGUAGCGUUCAUCUGGAGUGAAUCAGUACUUCUUAUCUGCCUUUGGGCCCUCGAGAUCUCUUUAACCUCUCAAAGCUCCCCUCCCUUUCCUGGCUUCAGAACAUGGACCUCACAAUGUACCAGGACACAAAGGAAAUCCAUAGACAGAUAAACCAUCUUUCAGAAGCAUCAUCUCUAGGACGAUAAUAGAGAGUCUGUAGCCCACUAGAUUGUGUAUAAGCCAAGUCGCUCAGUCAUCAUUUAAAUACACCUCACCCUGUUUAAGUCUCAGGAUGAAUGCCAAAUAUUGUCACCUUU